UGCAACACCAGAAAAGUACUUUUGUCCUAUAGGAGAUGUAAAUCAAAAGAGAAUCCGAGCCCAAGGCUACAAUAUUAAAAGAGUUCAAAUGGGAAGAUCUGCUAUUAAUAAGUAAUUGAAUUUUAAGAACUGCUUACUUGGUCCAUACCACACUGUCUUAAGAGCUGAUUGUUCUGUCCUUUGAAAAUAAUAAAGUGUCAGACUCAACACCAAUCACAGGAAGUCAAAGACACAAAUCAGAGAAGUCUGUGGGCAGCUCUGAGGGGAAAAAGACAAUAAUGAUCUCCGGUAGAAUAAAUCAUUUUCAGCCCGUAUCCUUGUGUAGACAAGAGGCUCCCAGGGAUGUUGAGUUGAAGAGGCAAGUUGCAGCAAAGAAAGCUCUGCAGACCAGAGGGGUGGGAUUGAACGAAGCCUGGAGAGAAAGGCUAUGAGCCAUCUUCGCACACCUCCAUUGCUCUUUACCUGCUAUAAGCAGCUAUUGCUCCUGUACUGCCAGCCACAAACUGGCAAUUCCCGUCUACCUCUGCAAAGAUCAAACCGUGAGCUGCUUCAGCUGCUGACCUUCAACACCCCCUGAAAGGAAUUUGGGGUAGAGAUCAGGACUGAGGCACUCUGUGUACUGGGAAAAACUAGCAGAACAAGUCCUCAGAUAGAUAUUUUCAGGAGAAGAUUUUGUGAGCCCAUUUCCUGCAUCUCCUCGUAUCUAGACCAUGGCCAAUUUGUCCAUCAUGGCAAUUUCCAAGAUGAGAACCCCCAGCAUUGCUAACAAUCAUAUGGGGGCCAGAGUUGGUAUGUCUUAUGUGUAAAAGCAUCCUGUAUUCCUCUAAGUAAUAGUUUAGUAGUUAUUUGGGGGACAUUAAGCCUCAAAUCAGCCCUGGAAUUAAUGCCAUUCCCUCCAUGUAAGAUUAACCAAAUUCCAGAUGAAUCCCUAGUGUGCUUCUUUGUUUAUGAUGUCAGAGUUACUAAUCCUUUUUAGCCAAGGAAACAAUUAUUAUGUGUUGCAAAUAUGGACUCUUGUCAGCUCAUCAGUAGACUAUUUGGUUAAGAGAUAAGAGGAGGAAAUCCUUUGUCUUUCAAGAUAAUC
rnacentral:lncRNA from 1 species